UAUUAGAGGACAAAAUGAGAUGAAUAUAGAAAAUAGUUAUAAGGAUAUUUGCAGAGGUGACUGUAAGGAAGCCCUCCAUUUUCCAUUCAGUUUCCCCACAGCAUGUGCUACCUGGCUUGACAAGGAUAAAGAAGGGCACCUGAAACUGAAGGAAGAAUUGGACUGGGAUUUUCAAUGACAAACUUCAUGCAUACACUCCCAUGAACAUGAAGAUACUACAAGCAUGUAAGAGAACACUGGGGCUCUAAGGCCAUAAUCCUGGAAACUCCUACAUAGAGGUCCUGUAUACAGGAUUACUUUGUUUCCCUGUACCCUGUGUAUGUUGUGACACAAAGCUCAGUUGGGUGGUCCUAUGAUGGUGUGUGCUGUGGUAUCUCUGACUUGGGAACCUUGGGGCCUGUAGGAACUCCUGGAGCUGAAUGAGCUCCACUGGCAUGUUCUCUGCUCCUGGGUUGGACAGCAUCUGAUUUGCCUGUCGCAUCACCUGCAAGUCCUUCAUGUCUUAGUCUCCUGUCCAUCUUGGAAGAUGCAAUGAGAACGUGCAGCCUCCAGACACUGAGGAGAACCACACCAGAGCUGGAAAUUAAAAUGUCCACAGUGAAAACCAUCCACCUAUGCAAUUAGCUUUUUUUAAGAAAACUUGACUGGACUAAAAAAUGUGCACAAGAUGACUGGAAGACACAUGGAAAACAAAAUGCAGCCUUCUCCUAACCUGGAAACAGAGAUUUCCAUCACUGGUAUGACCAGGCCUUUUUGUAGCUGCUUUCUCAUGAAGCAGUUAGAUAUGGUCUAGUCACAGGAUACAAAUACACAAAUGUUACUUUUUGGAAUGCAUUCUGCUACCCUGGAUGGCUUGUACCAUGUUAUUUAACAUUAUUUCUGUUACGUUGUGAGCCUGUACUGUACUAAGCUGUAAGCAUUAUUCAACUGUUGUCAAAUAGAAACAUUUUCAGGUGCUAACUUUAAAUGCCCAAGGAAAAUGAGUGAAGUAUAUAUACCUAAAAUACAUGAAUAAUUCCAAACAAUAAAUGAUUUUUUUUUGUGUGUGUGUGCAUGUGAAGAAGAUACAAAAAGACCAUACCUUGCCCUGAAACGACAUAAUAAUUGGGGUUACUGAUGGAUUACUGUGUAUGUUCUGACAUGACAUUAGAUUAAAAUUAUUUAAUAUUACUUGAAAGCAGGGUAAUGCCUUGCCAAAGGCCUCAGACUACCCUUCUUGCACUGUACUGCCAUCUGUUUAGCUGCAGAAUAGGUAUGGGUUUGACCAUUUUAGCAUCUUCCUGCACUGGGGUUGUACCUGUUUAAAAGUGAUUUGGUUAUUGAUAAAUUUCUGGAGGCAGAUGUGUUUCUGGAUUAUCUAGGGAGAGCAGUGUGUCUCUAUAAAGUAAUUACAGGAUUGCUGCUCAGCCAAUUGGAUUCUGGGGCAAUUCAAACAGAAAUUGUAUACACAUGUAAAGAAGGCUAUUAUGGGGCUGGAUUGCAUUAAAGGGAAAAGCCAAAAGCAGUGGAUAAAACUGAGCAAAAGAACAUGAAGG
rnacentral:lncRNA from 1 species